rnacentral:rRNA from 1 species
UACGUAGGGGGCAAGCGUUGUCCGGAUUUAUUGGGCGUAAAGAGCGUGUAGGCGGCCUGGCAGGUCCGUUGUGAAAACUGGAGGCUUAACCUCCAGCUGUCGAUGGAAACCAGCUGGCUAGAGUCCGGAAGAGGAGAAUGGAAUUCCCGGUGUAGCGGUGAAAUGCGCAGAUAUCGGGAAGAACACCCGUGGCGAAGGCGGUUCUCUGGGACGGUACUGACGCUGAGACGCGAAAGCGUGGGGAGCGAACAGG